rnacentral:lncRNA from 1 species
CGGGGCAUUGUUUUGGCUCGCCGGAGCACCUGCAAAACAAAAGAAAAAUCGUAAAGGAAAAGGGAAGGGGACUGGUUCGGGGUUUGAGGUCUGGUUUGCUGGGAUUUUGGUUGGCUGUCCGGGUGUUUUUGUUCGCUGGAAAAAAUGGAAAAUGAAGGCGAUUAUUCGCCGGAUUUCGCUGCUGGUCGAAGAAGAGGGCUUAGGAUGGUGGUUUCGCCGGAAGUGGAGUAUUGUUGGCUGUUUUCAAGUGGGUUUUAGGUGGCUGUUUGGUCGGAGCAAAUCGAACAGGGGUGGAUCUGGUUUGGGCUUCUGAUUACUGGUCGGAAAAAUGGAGUUUACACCAUUUCAGGUGAUCAUUUGGAGAAUGGAAGUGGUCGUUUGGUUUUUCUGAUGGUUGUUUACUAGUUGGAGCUGGUUUGUUGGGGUGGAGGAGACCGAAAAGGGAGAAAAAAUUGGGGGUUUUUGGGUUGCCGGAGCUUGGCCGGAAUUCGGGGUGGUGGUGACCGAAAACCUUUUUGUGAAUAAAAAUCUGAAAAGUUUAUAACCCUAUUCUAAAAAAAAUUCACCACCAC